AGUGAACGCUGGCGGUAGGCCUAACACAUGCAAGUCGAACGGCAGCACAGUAAGAGCUUGCUCUUACGGGUGGCGAGUGGCGGACGGGUGAGGAAUACAUCGGAAUCUACUUUUUCGUGGGGGAUAACGUAGGGAAACUUACGCUAAUACCGCAUACGACCUACGGGUGAAAGCAGGGGAUCUUCGGACCUUGCGCGAUUGAAUGAGCCGAUGUCGGAUUAGCUAGUUGGCGGGGUAAAGGCCCACCAAGGCGACGAUCCGUAGCUGGUCUGAGAGGAUGAUCAGCCACACUGGAACUUAGACACGGUCCAGACUCCUACGGGAGGCAGCAGUGGGGAAUAUUGGACAAUGGGCGCAAGCCUGAUCCAGCCAUACCGCGUGGGUGAAGAAGGCCUUCGGGUUGUAAAGCCCUUUUGUUGGGAAAGAAAAGCAGCAGGUUAAUACCCCGCUGUUCCGACGGUACCCAAAGAAUAAGCACCGGCUAACUUCGUG
rnacentral:rRNA from 1 species